GGUAUGUUUAAUGUUAAAGA
rnacentral:miRNA from 1 species